rnacentral:rRNA from 1 species
CCUACGGGGGGCAGCAGUGGGGAAUACUGGACAAUGGGGGCAACCCUGAUCCAGCCAUGCCGCGUGUGUGAAGAAGGCCCUCGGGUUGUAAAGCACUUUCAGUGAGGAAGAACGCCUGGUGGUUAAUACCCAUCAGGAAAGACAUCACUCACAGAAGAAGCACCGGCUAACUCCGUGCCAGCAGCCGCGGUAAUACGGAGGGUGCGAGCGUUAAUCGGAAUUACUGGGCGUAAAGCGCGCGUAGGUGGCUUGAUAAGCCGGUUGUGAAAGCCCCGGGCUCAACCUGGGAACGGCAUCCGGAACUGUCAAGCUAGAGUGCAGGAGAGGAAGGUAGAAUUCCCGGUGUAGCGGUGAAAUGCGUAGAGAUCGGGAGGAAUACCAGUGGCGAAGGCGGCCUUCUGGACUGACACUGACACUGAGGUGCGAAAGCGUGGGUAGCAAACAGGAUUAGAUACCCUGGUAGUC